rnacentral:rRNA from 1 species
UACGGGGGGGGGCAAGCAUUGUUCGGAAUCACUGGGCGUAAAGGGCUCGUAGGUGGCCAACUAAGUCAGACGUGAAAUCCCCGGGCUUAACCUGGGAACUGCGUUUGAAACUGGAAGGCUAGAGUGUGGCAGAGGGGGGUGGAAUUCCACGUGUAGCAGUGAAAUGCGUAGAUAUGUGGAGGAACACCGAUGGCGAAGGCAGCCCCCUGGGCUAACACUGACGCUCAUGCACGAAAGCGUGGGGAGCAAACAGG